AUACUUACCUGGCAUGGGAGACAGCAUGAUCACGAAGGUGGUUUUCCCAGGGAGAGGUUUAUCCAUUGCUCUCCGGAUGUGCUGACCCCUGCGAGUUCCCCAAAUGCGGGAGACUCGACUGCAAGAUUUGUGGGAGUGGGGACUGCAUUCGUGCUCUUCCCUG
ensembl:snRNA U1 U1 spliceosomal RNA